rnacentral:rRNA from 1 species
UACGUAGGGGGCAAGCGUUGUCCGGAAUCAUUGGGCGUAAAGCGCGCGUAGGCGGCCCGGUAAGUCCGCUGUGAAAGUCCAGGGCUCAACCCUGGAAAGCCGGUGGAUACUGCCGGGCUAGAGUCCGGAAGAGGCGAGUGGAAUUCCUGGUGUAGCGGUGAAAUGCGCAGAUAUCAGGAGGAACACCAAUGGCGAAGGCAGCUCGCUGGGACGGUACUGACGCUGAGACGCGAAAGCGUGGGGAGCAAACAGG